rnacentral:rRNA from 1 species
UGGGGUAUAUUGGACAAUGGGCGCAAGCCUGAUCCAGCCAUGCCGCGUGAGUGAUGAAGGCCCUAGGGUUGUAAAGCUCUUUCACCGGUGAAGAUAAUGACGGUAACCGGAGAAGAAGCCCCGGCUAACUUCGUGCCAGCAGCCGCGGUAAUACGAAGGGGGCUAGCGUUGUUCGGAUUUACUGGGCGUAAAGCGCACGUAGGCGGACUAUUAAGUCAGGGGUGAAAUCCCGGGGCUCAACCCCGGAACUGCCUUUGAUACUGGUAGUCUUGAGUUCGAGAGAGGUGGGUGGAAUUCCGAGUGUAGAGGUGAAAUUCGUAGAUAUUCGAAGGAACACCAGUGGCAAAGGCGGCUCACUGGCUCGAUACUAACGCUGAGGUGCGAAAGCGUGGGGAGCAAACAGG